AACGAACGCUGGCGGCAUGCCUAACACAUGCAAGUCGAACGAAGUCUUCGGACUUAGUGGCGCACGGGUGCGUAACGCGUGGGAAUCUGCCCUUGGGUGCGGAAUAACUUCUCGAAAGGGAUGCUAAUACCGCAUAAUGUCGUAAGACCAAAGAUUUAUCGCCCAAGGAUGAGCCCGCGUAAGAUUAGCUAGUUGGUGGGGUAAAAGCCUACCAAGGCGACGAUCUUUAGUUGGUCUGAGAGGAUGAUCAGCCACACUGGGACUGAGACACGGCCCAGACUCCUACGGGAGGCAGCAGUGGGGAAUAUUGGACAAUGGGCGAAAGCCUGAUCCAGCAAUGCCGCGUGAGUGAUGAAGGCCCUAGGGUUGUAAAGCUCUUUUACCAGGGAUGAUAAUGACAGUACCUGGAGAAUAAGCUCCGGCUAACUCCGUGCCAGCAGCCGCGGUAAU
rnacentral:rRNA from 1 species